GAUACGCUACUUGUUUUUGGAAAAGAGGUCAUCUCGACAAUAACAACUGUUAAUUGGAAUGAAUGCAGCGAUGAUAAAUCCGUAACAUUUUUAAAGCGAAUGGUUUUUAAUAGUGCCGUGGAAUUAACAAGCAUUUAUUCAAUCAUUUCCAAAGUUAGACAUGACAAGUGAAACUACGUUUGAAAAUAAGACACAUCUGUAUGAGUGCAUGUCAGUUGAAAAAAGAGAGCCAAGUCCAUGCUUUCAACUUGAAAAAAGUACUGGCCAAAUAAUAUAUUUUCCAAUUCACGUGUUGAAACUUAUUGGUUAUGAUCCCUUGACAAAUUUUUUUUACGGAAAAACAUUCCGAGAAAAUAUUAUCCAAGUUGAUAUUUAU
rnacentral:lncRNA from 1 species